rnacentral:rRNA from 1 species
UACGGGGGGGCAAGCGUUGUUCGGAAUUACUGGGCGUAAAGGGCGCGUAGGCGGCCUGCUAAGUCGGACGUGAAAUCCCUCGGCUCAACCGGGGAACUGCGUCCGAUACUGGCGAGGCUUGAAUCCGGGAGAGGGAUGUGGAAUUCCAGGUGUAGCGGUGAAAGUGACGUAGAUAUCUGGAGGAACACCAGUGGCGAAGGCGGCAUCCUGGACCGGCAUUGACGCUGAGGCGCGAAAGCUAGGGUAGCAAACGGG